GACGAACGCUGGCGGCGUGCCUAAUACAUGCAAGUCGAACGCACUCUCGUUUAGAUUGAAGGAGUUUGCUCCUGAUUGAUAAACAUUUGAGUGAGUGGCGGACGGGUGAGUAACACGUGGGUAACCUGCCCUAAAGUGGGGGAUAACAUUUGGAAACAGAUGCUAAUACCGCACAAAACCUAACACCGCAUGGUGUAGGGUUGAAAGAUGGUUUCGGCUAUCACUUUAGGAUGGACCCGCGGUGCAUUAGUUAGUUGGUGAGGUAAAGGCUCACCAAGACCGUGAUGCAUAGCCGACCUGAGAGGGUAAUCGGCCACACUGGGACUGAGACACGGCCCAGACUCCUACGGGAGGCAGCAGUAGGGAAUCUUCCACAAUGGACGAAAGUCUGAUGGAGCAACGCCGCGUGAGUGAAGAAGGUUUUCGGAUCGUAAAACUCUGUUGUUGGAGAAGAAUGUAUCUGAUAGUAACUGAUCAGGUAGUGACGGUAUCCAACCAGAAAGCCACGG
rnacentral:rRNA from 1 species